rnacentral:rRNA from 1 species
AUGAGGACCACCAAACAAUGCAACCUGCCACUUCCUUUGGGCAAGCAUUAUCGCUCAAAUGUGUUGUGCGAUGUGGUUGACAUGGAUGCCAGCCAUGUUCUUCUUGGGAGACCUUGGCAAUUUGAUGUGGAUACUACACACAAGGGCAAGGAAAAUUCUUAUUCUUUCAUUUGGAACAAGAGAAAGAUCAUUAUUCUACCAAACAAAACUGACGGUAAUAUCGCUAAGGACGAGGGGAAAAGAAUGUUAACUAUCUCCCACACCUCUAAUGAGUUUAUGGAAGACUUGAAGGAGGCAGAUUUGUGUGCUGCACUUAUUGUAAAAGGAGAAGAGCACCCGACUGUUGAAAUUCCGGCAAAGGUACAUGGCUUAUUAGCUGAAUUUCAUAACAUACUUGGGGAGCCACAAGGCCUACCACCGAUGAGAGGGAUUCAACAUAGAAUCGACUUAAUUCCAGGAGAAAGUCUUCCUAAUCUUCCACACUAUCGAAUGAGCCCAAAAGAGCAUAUUGAAGGAGAGAGUGGAAGAAUUGCUACAGAAGGGGCACAUUCGAGAAAGUAUUAG